rnacentral:rRNA from 1 species
GACGAACGCUGGCGGCGUGCUUAACACAUGCAAGUCGAACGGUAAGGCCCUUCGGGGUACACGAGUGGCGAACGGGUGAGUAACACGUGGGUGAUCUGCCCUGCACUUCGGGAUAAGCCUGGGAAACUGGGUCUAAUACCGGAUAGGACCACUGCCUGCAUGGGUGGUGGUGGAAAGCUUUUGCGGUGUGGGAUGGGCCCGCGGCCUAUCAGCUUGUUGGUGGGGUGAUGGCCUACCAAGGCGACGACGGGUAGCCGGCCUGAGAGGGUGACCGGCCACACUGGGACUGCGAUACGGCCCAGACUCCUACGGGAGGCAGCAGGGGGGAAUAUUGCACAAUGGGCGCAAGCCUGAUGCAGCGACGCCGCGUGGGGGAUGACGGCCUUCGGGUUGUAAACCUCUUUCAGCACCGACGAAGCGCAAGUGACGGUAGGUGCAGAAGAAGGACCGGCCAACUACGUGCCAGCAGCCGCGGUAA